CUCUGGACUCUGCAGCAGGUGUUUUUCUAGUUGGAUUUUAGCCCACUGACAUUCUCCCACAGCCAUGGAAUCGUCUCUUCCAUCGCUGGAGUUUGCAGGUUACAAAUGCUGGCUAAGCUGUUUGUGGCUGUUAGGCUGUCUAGACGAAGCAACAUCUCACCUGACCAUCCUGAGCAUCUGCCCUAUGCUCCAGUGAGAUGAAUACCCUGUGCUUGGCAGGACUAUCCCCCAUCAGUGGACAACAGCUCACCUAAUGGAUACUCUGCUCACUCCUUACUUUCAUGUUCCACUCAAAUCUAAUUCAGGGGAUUUAGUAAGGAACAUAGAAGCCAGAAGCAGUUUUCUGUUUGCAGUGAGUUUGUGAAAAAAUAAAUAAAUAAUGAUG